rnacentral:rRNA from 1 species
AGAGUUUGAUCCUGGCUCAGAUUGAACGCUGGCGGCAUGCUUUACACAUGCAAGUCGAACGGCAGCGCGGGGCAACCUGGCGGCGAGUGGCGAACGGGUGAGUAAUAUAUCGGAACGUACCCAAGAGUGGGGGAUAACGUAGCGAAAGUUACGCUAAUACCGCAUACGAUCCAAGGAUGAAAGCAGGGGACCGCAAGGCCUUGUGCUCCUGGAGCGGCCGAUAUCUGAUUAGCUAGUUGGUAGGGUAAAGGCCUACCAAGGCUACGAUCAGUAGCUGGUCUGAGAGGACGACCAGCCACACUGGAACUGAGACACGGUCCAGACUCCUACGGGAGGCAGCAGUGGGGAAUUUUGGACAAUGGGCGCAAGCCUGAUCCAGCAAUGCCGCGUGAGUGAAGAAGGCCUUCGGGUUGUAAAGCUCUUUUGUCAGGGAAGAAACGGUGCGGGCUAAUAUCCUGCACUAAUGACGGUACCUGAAGAAUAAGCACCGGCUAACUACGUGCCAGCAGCCGCGGUAAUACGUAGGGUGCAAGCGUUAAUCGGAAUUACUGGGCGUAAAGCGUGCGCAGGCGGUUUUGUAAGUCUGAUGUGAAAUCCCCGGGCUCAACCUGGGAAUUGCAUUGGAGACUGCAAGGCUAGAAUCUGGCAGAGGGGGGUAGAAUUCCACGUGUAGCAGUGAAAUGCGUAGAGAUGUGGAGGAACACCGAUGGCGAAGGCAGCCCCCUGGGUCAAGAUUGACGCUCAUGCACGAAAGCGUGGGGAGCAAACAGGAUUAGAUACCCUGGUAGUCCACGCCCUAAACGAUGUCUACUAGUUGUCGGGUUUUAAUUAACUUGGUAACGCAGCUAACGCGUGAAGUAGACCGCCUGGGGAGUACGGUCGCAAGAUUAAAACUCAAAGGAAUUGACGGGGACCCGCACAAGCGGUGGAUGAUGU